rnacentral:rRNA from 1 species
AUUGAACGCUGGCGGCAUGCCUUACACAUGCAAGUCGAACGGUAACAGGCCGCAAGGUGCUGACGAGUGGCGAACGGGUGAGUAAUACAUCGGAACGUGCCCGAGAGUGGGGGAUAACGGAGCGAAAGCUUUGCUAAUACCGCAUACGAUCUACGGAUGAAAGCAGGGGACCGCAAGGCCUCGCGCGAUUGGAGCGGCCGAUGUCAGAUUAGGUAGUUGGUGGGGUAAAGGCCCACCAAGCCAACGAUCUGUAGCUGGUCUGAGAGGACGACCAGCCACACUGGGACUGAGACACGGCCCAGACUCCUACGGGAGGCAGCAGUGGGGAAUUUUGGACAAUGGGCGAAAGCCUGAUCCAGCCAUGCCGCGUGCAGGAUGAAGGCCUC